UAUAUAUAUAUAAAGACUUCAAUGGACCAGAUAACCAUUCACAGUUCAAUAUCUUUCAUUUUAGAGAUCUUGUUCCUGCAGAACAGAGUUCUUGAUAGUUGUAAAGGUUUAAGAAAAUGUGAAAUGUUAAGAUGGUGCACUGGAUGGAUUCUGACCCAGCCCUGCUCGUUUUUUAUUCGUUGAUAACGACGAAUGACGGUUAUUCAAAUAUGGAACUCCCAGUGCCAAAAGGCCUCACGUACGACCACUGUCGGCCAUGGGGCUAAAGACUUUUUCAUGACGGGCCUAAAUUGGUUGAAUGUGUCUAGUAUGGUUAGUUUGACGUGUGUCUUAUUGUGUUCUACUGUGUAAUUGAUAUUAUAAAUGAUAGUAUGAGUUAGUGAAACAUUCCACUCGUUAUGCGUCCCUGCGUUGCAGGUAACCAGCGUUUAAACUGCCAAGUGCCCAAUCAACUGUGCUUACCUUUGUGUUUGUGCUGUCCUUCGUUAGAGGUGACAUUCCUGUUUGUGGUCCAUGUUAACACGAUGCUCAGAAUAUGCCUUUUUGUGAAUAGUGCCCUCUUUGUAUGCAACCUAAACAAUUUAGUUUGUUUCUAAUGCAUUCUCAAUCAAAAUGUGAAUUUAUUUAUGCUGGAAAAUGUUUCAUUUCCAAAUUGUUUGCGUCCUUCAAAUGCACGAACACAACAACGCACAUCAAACUUAAAGACUUCUCGUAUUCAAAUGUUAAACUAAUAACGAACAACCUCAGUGAAUAUAUUAAUAGAAAAAUCCCAACUUGA